AUUGAACGCUGGCGGCAGGCCUAACACAUGCAAGUCGAACGAGUGGCGGACGGGUGAGUAAUGUCUGGGAAACUGCCUGAUGGAGGGGGAUAACUACUGGAAACGGUAGCUAAUACCGCAUACCAUCAGAUGUGCCCAGAUGGUCGUAGCUAGUUGUUGGGGUAACGGCUCACCAAGGCGACGAUCCCUAGCUUGUCUGAGAGGAUGACCAGCCACACGGGAACGUAGACACGGUCCAGACUCCUACGGGAGGCAGCAGUGGGGAAUAUUGCACAAUGGGCGCAAGCCUGAUGCAGCCAUGCCGCGUGUAUGAAGAAGGCCUUCGGGUUGUAAAGUACUUUCAGCGGGGAGGCGGGAACCGAAGAAGAAGCACCGGCUAACUCCGUGCCAGCCGCCGCGGUAAUAG
rnacentral:rRNA from 1 species